GAGCUUGCUUUGACAGCACAUAUACUAAAAUUGGAUGCAUAGAGAGAAGAUUAGAACAGUACAUGUGCAAAGGUGCCACCUAAAUUCAUGAAGCAUUCUAUAUUUUU
ensembl:snRNA U6 U6 spliceosomal RNA